CCCCAGGUCAGGCGGGA
rnacentral:rRNA from 1 species